ensembl:lncRNA
GGAGCAUGCAGUUUUAUUUCCAAGCUUUGUUCCUUACAAGCUUCGUUAUUUCUCAGGUCUGUAAAUCAUCUCUUCUUCCAAUGGCAGAACCCUUUCUCCUGACACACGGUCUCAUUGAAAGCUAAUGACCAAACAUCAUGUCGCAUCCUUGGCUCAGCUGUAGCUAGACGUGAACCCUGAUUGCCUUUUGUAGCUAUAUUGGCAGAAAAGGGGGGGGCAUAAUAAUGGUUUCAGAGUGGCACCGUGUCCCUGUUCUCCUCCACAGCUCCAUUGAGAUGCAGUUUUCUUAACUGUCAGCCCUGUAGGGUUAGAUAGCUGGUCCCCAACCCAUCCCUACAAUUACCUGCUUUGCUCUGCACGGAUUUCAACAUCCUGUUCUUAUUUACAAACCCCUUUCCCAAGGGACAAAUGCUGAGGGAUGGAGAGGCUGAAUCAGUGACAGUGUAAGCCAAAUCACUGGGAAGGACCCUCGGAUUGCCCUAGAGGUGUUCAAGAACCAUGGAGAUGUGGCACCGAGGAACUUGGUCAGUGGGCAUGGUGGGGUUGAGUUAGACUUGGUGAUCUCAGAGCUCUUUUCCAACCUUCAUGCUUCCAUAUCAACAUCCAACCCAACUUAAACAACCUUACAAAAGUUAUAUUUCUCCCACAGAUAAGCAGCUUUUGGGAGAGCAGCAAGAGAUUAAACAGAUUCCUAUCUAUCUCUAAGCUUGCUCUAACUUCUGCUUUACUCUUUUCAAAAGGCAAAUUUAGCAUUUCCAUCACAAGGUUCAAAGCAGCAAAUGGAGUCUCCCUUAAAACUGGAUGUACAUAUUGAUACUCAGGAUUGGUCCCAGGUGCCACCAAUUCCUUCCCUGAUUACCUGGUCAAUCUGAUUGGAGCAUGGCUCCUCUCAAGCUAUAUAAACCUGCCAGAGAGCUGGUGCAUCCUUUUGUGGUCAGAGCUUUUCCUGUGUCUUCAUGUCAACUUUUUUCCUGCUUCACCUUACCAUGUGGAAAAAGCUCCGAUGACUUUUUUUUUCCAUCCAUACCUGUGCUGAUGUCAUUGACAGAGACCACAGAUGGAGAGCGUGACCUUCCCUGCUGGGAUGACAAGGGAGCAUGUUCAAGGCCUUCCUGUGCAGUGGAAUGGCACCUGGAAAGAAUAAGGCUGGGUGAAAGCCAAAGAGAUUGAUCUUUGACAAAUCACAGAGCUGUGCACUAAUUGAGGCUGGAAGGGACCACUUGAGAAGACCUGGAUGAAAGAUAACAGUGGGCUGGGCAGAAUCCAGCCAAGGCAGUCACCAGCUCCGUUUUACAAAUCUUGUUCAUUCUACUGUUGUAUCUUUCUUGGUCAUUUCCAAGAUGUUUCCUGAGCAAUGUACCAAAUCCAUCAAUGAUUUUCCUAAGCCACAGGCCUUGGGGCAGUCAGGUCCCUUUUCUGAGAGGACAGUGGGCCAAAAUCCAUCAUCCAUGGCAUGGGGGCUGGAGCCACAUCAUCUGUAAGGUCUCCACCAACCCAAGUUAUUCUAUGAUCAUCCACUUAUCCGGAAAUUGAUUCCCUUUAGCUAAGGCUAAGGGGAUGUUUAAAUGAGGUAUUUAAAUACACUGCAUUCAAGUCUUCACGUGGACCUUGUAUUUAUAACUUGUCCUUCUAGUGAGAGACCGAUUAUGAAGUUUCACUCGCACGUAACAUGUCCUUUAGCACAGGUUUCUGUUAAGCCAUAGACUAUAGCUGAUGUUCAAUUAGUCUUAAAU